UACAGAGGUCUCAAGCGUUGUUCGGAUUCAUUGGGCGUAAAGGGUGCGUAGGCGGCGGUGCAAGUCCGAUGUGAAAUACCGGGGCUCAACCCCGGAACUGCAUUGGAUACUGCAUUGCUAGAGUACUGGAGAGGGAACUGGAAUUUACGGUGUAGCAGUGAAAUGCGUAGAGAUCGUAAGGAAGACCAGUGGCGAAGGCGAGUUCCUGGACAGUUACUGACGCUGAGGCACGAAGGCCAGGGGAGCAAACGGG
rnacentral:rRNA from 2 species